AAUGGAGUUUGUGUGCAAGUACUGCAAUCGCACGUUCAACAAACACUAUUCGCUGCUCAUCCACGAACGCAAUCAUCUGCCUACCGUGAGCUACCGGUGUGAGAUGUGCUACAAGUCGUUCAAAAGGCAAGACAGCUUACAACAACACAGAUGUGGCCAUUCAAGGUGAACUGCGGAUUCUUCAAGACAACCCCUCUAAAACCUACCUAAUAAAAAAAAAAAAAAAAAAAAAAAAAAAAAAAAACCNAAAAAAAAAAAAAAAACAAAAAACAAAAACCUAUCUAUUAUACUGUAGGCCACAUUUCUAACUGAUUAUAUCGACCCAUAGUCCGAAUUACAGAGCUGGGUACGCAUUGCAGCUUUGAAAAAAAAUUGUGAUAUGCUAAACUAUUAGCUAACUGUUGUAUUGUAUUGUAUAUGUAUAUAGAGACUAACUAGGUAGUUUAUAAGUAAGUUAUAUAACUAAUAAUAUUAGAUUUUGAGCAGACUGGUCAGUUUUUAAGUUUGUUAGUUCACUAAAAAUAAUUAGAUGAACAAAAAAAAAAAAACUUUUUAAACAAUUAAAAUGUUAUUCGAUUAAUAAUUUAUUAACAUUAUGACAUGUUGUAUGUUAAGUAAUUUAAUAGAUGUGUCAUGUUACAAAAAAAAUAAAUAUUAUCCUAAUAUAUAAAUCUUGUGUGACACUAUUAUUGUUUAAAAUGUAUUAAUAAUACUUGUACAUUAGUUUUGUAUAGGGGAAUAUAUUUUUUAAAAAGUAUAAAGAUUUUAUAUGUUAAAAAAUAAGUUCAAAAUAUCCCCGAGCGAAUUUUUUCUUAGAAUGUUCCUUAAAAAUUUCUUAUUUGAAAUUCGCGGUCUCGGCAAAUUGCAAUUUAGGAAUUAUAAUUUUUAAGUAUAUGUUAAACACUCUGAGAAAAAUGCGUCUAGCCUACAAAAGACAUAUAUUACCAUUUAAGGCAAGAAACAUGUUAUUGUUUUUAAAGCAUAUUUAAUUAUAUGAAUUACUAGUUAAUAUAAUAUGUCACAUUUUGUAAAUAUGUAACCAGUUAUUGUUAGCCAUUAUUAGAUAUUUAAAAAUUUUAAUUUGUAUGUAUCAUAGUAUGUGUGUGUUGAUUAAAAAAAUAUAAUUUAUUUGUACAUACA